CUAUUUUGUCACUCAUUUUUUCCACGGCACAUUUGUGGCGAGCUCAUCACACAGCGGCUCUGUCUUUAAUAUGGCUCUACGGGCUGUAAAGUGAGAGAAUCUGAACGUGACGUCAAUGCCUAGUAACUGACGCAGCCCUUCAACAAAAAAAAAGCAUUUUAUUUAUUAUUUUGCUUCUUCUCGUCAGCACAGCUUUAUUACUAAAUUUUACAGGGCUCCGUCGACUAAAACAAAACGGAAAGUCUGCCAGGGUGCGUCGGUGAAUCCGCGUUUAUCAGAAUUUGGAUCUAUUUUGCGUUCAUGAGUUUUGGCUGCUGAAGUGACACUGGGACGAGAAGCUUCUGAGGAGGGCGACAAGACAUCAAAUAUUGUCGAUGGUAUUGGCAUCGACGACCACCUCCAAAUUUUAAGUUGCUCAGGGUGAAAGAAGUGUGUUUUUCCAUGAGGCGAGGAGGUGCUGGUGCUGUUGGAGGCCCAUCAGGUUCCAAAAAAAAAAAAAAAAUCACUGCAAUGAUGCAACGGAGGGGAAUCGUGGUUCUUGUGCAGAGUUGGAGAGGCAAAAUUAAUUUAUAUUACAUGCACCUCACGUAACGUUCCUAAGCGAUGCCUUUUGUGAGUGUUUUCCCCCUUCCUCGUACUGUGACCUAAAAAUAGCAUCAUAGUUUUGAUCGCGCGCCAGAAAUAGACAGACGGGUAUCACUUGUAUAAAAAAGGAGGCGAUCCUGAGCAAACUUGGACGUGCCACUGUUAGAGCCAGGAUAUGCCUGCACCACGACAUGACUCCUGUUCGUAGGUACGGAUAUUAUUGGCAUGCUGUAAAACCGAAGCACAGAGCAACCCUUCCUGCAGAGUAGGAAUCACCCCCUUUGAGGAGUCAGACUGACAGAGACGUGGCGUUGGAGGAGGAAGAGGAGGAGAGGAGGGAGUGGAGAAGUGAAGGAGCUGUUGCUGCAGCAGAGACCAGGCGCACCGCAUGGGGAAACCCGGGAGCUGUCCAGCAGCAAUGGUGCUGAAACCACACCAAGUGGCGGUAGUGGGCUGUUGCUGGAAGUGGAGGGACAACGAGCAGUAGAGCAAAGGUGGAAAUGAGGAUAGUCGUGCGCCUGGCCGGACUGUGCUGCAGCUGCAGUGGGAGCAGCCAGAUGUGCGCUGGAGAAGAUAAAGGGGGUACCCACGUUUUGGAUGUUUUUCACCGAGGAGCGCAGACAGAGACAACGACAGACUCCAAACUCCUUCCUUGUCUUCCCCCUCUUUCUCAACACAUGACAGGACUCCAUGCAUGUAGUCCAAGAGGACUGAGGAGACAACAGCGUGUUGGUGUUCAGUGGAUCAGAGUGUGUUCUUACCAUGAUGACUGCAGAACCACAAAGGAAAGAAAAGGGGAAACUAGCCGAUGAAGCGGAGAAUAACAACAAAGGCUGAGAGGAGUAGGAGGAGGGUGGAGAGAGAAAGAGAAAGCUUGGAAUCAACCGACGCCUUUUUAUUCAAGUUGCACGAGUCCCGACACUCCUGAAAGUCAGGCCGUUUUUUUGUGGGACACACCCACCCCCCUUUUGUCCUCAGAGCCAGAGAGAGAGAGAGCGAGAGAGAGAGAGAGCGAGAGAGAGAGACGUCGAAUCCCAGACUGGGAAGGAUCAAAAAGGACAAUGUGAGAGUGGGCAACACGGGAAGCUGCAAUAAAAAAACACACACUCUCUCUCUCUCUCUCACACACACACACACACACACACACACACACACACACACACACACACACUCACACACUCACAGGUGAGUUGUAUGUUUCCUUUGAAAUAUUCUACAAAAACAAAUCACAGCUACAAAAAAAAAACAUAAAUAGUGUGCAAAGUGUCAAAUGCAUGAAAACAGAAAUUCCACUUCUGAUGUUUGCAAUAAUUACUGACUGAUAAACUGUAAAAAUAUUAUAUAAAAUAAUUUAAGUUAGUCAGAGUUUAAAGAGAUGAGACAAACUUUAAUCAGACCCGUUCUUUAAGUUAAAGACUCACCAUGAGUCUAUUUCUUUCAUUCUUACACACACAAAACUCAGGUCAAUUUGCAUUUUUUUUGUUUUUAUAAGAAGAUAUUUAUAAUCUCUCGAGGGGAGGUUCAGACAUGCUAAACAUGCCUGUGCGCGCGCACACACACACACACACACACACACACACACACACACACACACACACACACACACACACACACACACACACAGACACUGAAAUACACAUAUGAAGAAGCCAUGGAGUGAAAUUUAGAGAUGCUUUAGUCUUUGCAUGAAUUUAUGGGCUGAGAUGUUUGAAAUAAAAAUCAAAAUAUUUAAGCCUGGAUCACUUAGACAUCUGGUAUUUAAUGUUAAAUCUUGUUUAUUUUUGUCAGUCAUCUUUCAAACCAUACAGACGUGAAUCUAUCUGUAAAAAGCUUUUAAAUGAAAGUCAUUUGCCUCUUUUUUUCCUGAUUUUGAAAUGAAGCUACUUUCGUGUCUGUGCCCUCAGACGCAGCUGCUGUGGCGUCCCAGUGCACGUGGGACGAAACAGAGGUGAUACAACCGAAGCUUUUUGGCUGCGAGGACAAACCCGAGACGUGAAGGUGACUCUCAAAAACGUCCGAUAUGAAUGUGUACAUGUGUUUAUAUUUGAGGUUAUAUUUUUAAACACACUGUGGGACCAAAACAAAAAUAAUGUCACAUCAAUUGCGGUCUUACUCUUCACUCAACAGCUGUGUGUGAGAAUGUGUGUGUCAGUGUGUGCUGUUUUAAUAUAUUUGUUUGCAUAUAUUUGUGCACAAAAAUUAGCUCAGUGUAAAAAACUAUUUUAAUUGUGCUAUGAUGCCAGAAUGUAAACUCCAUGCUGUAAAAUAAUUGUUUAAUAAUUAUUCCAUAAAAGAGGACAUUUCGUAAAUAUAUUUUUCUCUGAUAAUGUUUUCUAUAAAUAAGAAACAUCUGGUUACACGUACAGUUAAUUUCACCCUCUUUGAUUUUGUUACACAACUUGCUGCUCCUUGCUUCCCUCAGUGUCACGUUCGCUUCGAUCUCUCCUCUUGUGUCAAAAAAUGCGAACAGCUGCCUGAUUACUGUCAACGUUUGGACACAUUUUUAUACUCUUGUUCCUCUGCUGAGUACAUGACAGGUUUUGCUUUGUGCAGCAGAGUCUCGGUUUGUCAGGAUUUCACGUUUAGUUUUGAGUGUGUGUGUGUGUGUGUGUGUGUGUGAGAGAGAGGGGAAAGAGAGACAGGGAGCAUGGCGGCAGGAGGGGUGCCGGUGGAUGUUGGAGAGUUAAAGAUGCUGUUGCAAAUGAAGCCUUCCUGGGUCGGAGACAGCACACACAGCUGGGGAGCAAAUUGUGACAGCUGCUUGUGCUGAAACAUGCAGCGUGUGCAAGCAUGGUUGUGUUACUCAUGUGCGUAAAAUGCUGAAAAAGAUCGUAAAUAAAGCGAUAUUAAAACACA